rnacentral:rRNA from 1 species
UGAUAAACUGGAGGAAGGUGGGGAUGACGUCAAGUCAUCAUGGCCCUUACGACCAGGGCUACACACGUGCUACAAUGGCGCAUACAAAGAGAAGCGACCUCGCGAGAGCAAGCGGACCUCAUAAAGUGCGUCGUAGUCCGGAUUGGAGUCUGCAACUCGACUCCAUGAAGUCGGAAUCGCUAGUAAUCGUGGAUCAGAAUGCCACGGUGAAUACGUUCCCGGGCCUUGUACACACCGCCCGUCACACCAUGGGAGUGGGUUGCAAAAGAAGUAGGUAGCUUAACCUUCGGGAGGGCGCUUACCACUUUGUGAUUCAUGACUGGGGUGAAGUCGUAACAAGGUAACCGUAGGGGAACCUGCGGUUGGAUCACCUCCUU